GGGAGCCUGAGAAUCGGCUACCACAUCUAAGGAAGGCAGCAGGCGCGUAAAUUACCCAAUCCUGACUCAGGGAGGUAGUGACAAGAAAUAACAAACCGGGGCACUUUGUGCUUACGGGAUUGCAAUGAGCACAAUUUAAAACACUUAGCGAGGAACGAUUGGAGGGCAAGUCUGGUGCCAGCAGCCGCGGUAAUUCCAGCUCCAAUAGCGUAUAUUAAAGUUGUUGCAGUUAAAAAGCUCGUAGUCGAAUUUCUGGGCGGUGGUAUCAUGGCUUCGGUUAUGAUACGCCUGUCCAUCCGUCAGGGAACUUCGUUCGUCCUUCACUGGACGGCGGAGGGAACUGACAUUUUACUUUGAAAAAAUUAGAGUGUUUCAGGCAGGCAAUCGCUGGAAUACAUUAGCAUGGAAUAAUGGAAUAGGACUUUAAUCCAUUUUAUUGGUUAUUGGGGUUGAGGUAAUGAUUAAUAGGGACAGUUGGGGGCAUUAGUAUUUAAUUGUCAGAGGUGAAAUUCUUGGAUUUAUUAAAGACUAACUAAUGCGAAAGCAUUUGCCAAGGAUGUUUUCA
rnacentral:rRNA from 1 species